CCAUGUGCAAGCUUCUGCAUCUGCCCCAGUUUUGCAAGGACCUGUCCAAGUUUCAGCAUAUGCAAAGGAGAAGAAAAAAAAUCUUGUCACUAAGAAAACAUAUGUCCAAGAAAUUACCAAAGCUCAUGCAUCUUCAGCACCUGUUCAACUCAAAACUUCUGCACCUGUUCAAGUUAAAGCUUAUGUACAAGCCAAAUCAUCAGCCAAAGCUAUUAUAGAUGCUGCAAAGGUUACCAAAGUUCCAGCAUCUUCAGCUCCUGUCAAAGUGAAAUCUAAAGUUUAUGCAUCUAGUUCUAAAGUCAAUUCAAAUUCCCAAUCACAUGCAAGUACCAAUGCUCCUAAGGCAUCAGAUUAUGAGCAUCUUGUUGCAAAGUGGAAUUCAGGUGGUGCAAGUAGGUUCAUAUCCCUAUUCAAAUAGUAGAUUCUGGAGAUAUUUGUGCAUAGGCCUUUUUUGAAAAAAUCAUUUUUUGAACAAUGUUGUUCCUGUGAAGUUGUAUAGGCCUGUUUUGUAUCAUGUCAAGUUGUGUUGUCACUUAGUUUUUGUUAGUUGAGGUAUGGGAUGAACCUUGUUUUUGUUUUAUUUUGUAAUCAACACAAACUUAAUAUGGCAUGUAUUAUAAAUUAGAUGGAGUGUAUGAAUUAGUACAAUUUAAUCCUGCUUAUAUUGAAAAUUUACUUUUGCAGAGAAUUUAAUCUUGCUUAUUAAAUUGGAAUUUAUUCUUGCAGUACAUCGAAAAUUCACUCAUACUAGUUAAAUAGAACUACAUAGGUUUGACAUAACAUAUAGAUUGCAAAUAUUGCGAGGUUUAACACAAUUAAACUGUGAACGACUCCAACUUCAUCUUUGUUAUUAUUUACCUCGUUUUCUUGACGGACUUGGUUUCUUGAUGCACUUGUAGCUUCAUUUUCUUCAUAAUUAGGAGUAGAUUGGGAGUUGUGGUAUGAGAAAUUUUGCCCAACAUCAAAUGGCUCACACCAAUGAGAAUAGCCAUGGUCUGGGCAACAAUAAAACAACCUCCCGGGGUUCAUGUUUGUCUCUGAAACCAUGAUUGUCGUUUUCUUUCCACAAUUAA
rnacentral:lncRNA from 1 species